rnacentral:rRNA from 1 species
AUUGAACGCUGGCGGCAGGCUUAACACAUGCAAGUCGAGCGGGGUGAUGGUGCUUGCACUAUCACUUAGCGGCGGACGGGUGAGUAAUGCUUAGGAAUCUGCCUAUUAGUGGGGGACAACAUCUCGAAAGGGAUGCUAAUACCGCAUACGUCCUUCGGGAGAAAGCAUGGGAUGAGUUGUGCCCAUGCGCUAAUAGAUGAGCCUAAGUCGGAUUAGCUAGUUGGUGGGGUAGAGGCCUACCAAGGCGACGAUCUGUGGCGGGUCUGAGAGGAUGAUCCGCCACACUGGGACUGAGACACGGCCCAGACUCCUACGGGAGGCAGCAGUGGGGAAUAUUGGACAAUGGGGGGAACCCUGAUCCAGCCAUGCCGCGUGUGUGAAGAAGGCCUUAUGGUUGUAAAGCACUUUAAGCGAGGAGGAGGCUCUUUUGGUUAAUACCCAAGAUGAGUGGACGUUACUCGCAGAAUAAGCACCGGCUAACUCUGUGCCAGCAGCCGCCGUAACAC